rnacentral:tRNA from 1 species
GAGGGUGUAGCUCAGUGGUAGAGCUCAUGCUUAGCAUGCACUAGAUCCAGGGUUCAAGCCCCAGUACCUUCG